CUCUGAGGCUACCACUGUCACGCUAGAAGGUUCCAUGUCGUCUGGUAUUUUCUGUGCCUGUGCUUCUAGCAGCCUGGACACCUGUAAACCCCACAUCCAGUGGCUAAGUGAGGGCUGUAACACAGAGGACAGUGACCAGGACAGGACUAAAAAUCUGGCGUGGAAAAGACUUGGGUCUUUAUCAUCCUACUCUCCAAGUCUCCAAGAGGUCUGUGGAACCCUGGACAGAGCCUCUGGGGUUGGCACCACAGAAGAGACCUGAAGUUCUUUACAUCAUUAAGUUCAGCAGAGCUGUGGACAGCCCUUCGCCUGGAAACAGCUUCUUACACCAAGGAAGACCCUAGACUGCCUGAGUCCCUCUGGAGUCCCUGCUUCCCAAGACGGCCAGAGAGAAUGCCAAGGACCGAUCGGAAAUGGUUUGAGUGUCAACAGUGAUCCGCUAGAG